UCUUGUCGUUUGGGAUGUUCCAAGAAGCAUCUCACAUACACAAACUACAAAAAAGGUACAAAGAGACAUAAAAAAAUCUGGCAUUCACAUGUGCGUCAGAUAUUUCAUCAUGUGGGUCACCCAUCCCUAUGCAGAAUUCCCCUCCAAUAAUUCACUCCCAAUAAUUGUUCAGCCACCCAUCAGCUUCAAUUUAUAUGUGUGUAUAUAUAUACUUCCAUGGUUACCUUAGUGCAAGAACCUUGCACCAUUUCUAAGUAUGUGGAGCAACCUCCCCUUUGAUCUCCUAGCCAACAUCUUCUCACUCCUCUCCCCGGACACGUUGGCACGCGCCAGGUCAGCUUGUCGGCAUUGGCACACGUGUGCCAAUGUCUCGUACACCGCCCCCGUAGGGGCAUGCCGUCAACCACCGUGGUUGGUGGCCUUGCCCACGCGCCACCGUGGGCUCUUUUGCUAUGCCCACAAUCCUAUUAUCGACAAGUGGCACGUUCUCCCGCUCGACUUCGUGCCGGACCCGGCUCGGCCCAUUGCUCCAAUUCGUGGGCUUAUACUCUUGAGGCACACAAGCACCACAACCCUCCAAUUAGCCAUAUGCAACCCAUUCACUAGGCAAUACAAGACCCUACCAAUGCUAAUCAUCGCACGCACCAAUCCAGCAGUGGGCCUGAUAGAGUUGGGCUCAAGCCCAACCCAACACGUUUCGUGUCCUUACUUUCUAGUCUACGUGGCCGGAGGCAUGUCCGAGGCGCCACAUGGUGCUGGCGCCUCGUACGAGGCCACAUUGGAAAUGUACGAUUCAAGACGCAACACUUGGCAAGUUAUUGGACCAAUGCCAAUGGAGUUCGCAGUGAGGCUAACGGUUUGGACACCUAAUGAGAGUGUCUACUCCAAUGGGGUAUUAUAUUGGAUGACCUCGGCUCGAGCCUAUAGCGUAAUGGGAUUCGAGAUUGGGACAAACAUUUGGAAGGAAUUGAGCGUGCCGAUGGCGGACCGGCUCGAGUUUGCGGCGUUGGUGCCUCGGAACAAGAAAUUGGUACUUAUCGGUGGCGUGUGUAGAGGUGAUGCAUUUGUUUGGGAGCUGGGGGAGGACGGUGCUUGGAAUUCGAUUGGGAAAGUGCCUUUUGAAUUGGGGGUGAGAUUUUUAGGGGGAAAUGGGAGUUGGGGUAUGACUAAAUGUGUGGGUAUUGAUGGGGAAGUGUGGCUGUAUAGGGACCUUGGGUCAGGGAUGGUGGUUUGGAGGGAGGAUUGGGAGAAAGGUAGGUGGGAAUGGAAUUGGGUUGAAGGGUGUUGCUUCAUUAGAGGCAAACAAGUUCAUAAAUUUCCUAUUAAAGAUAAUACUGAUUUCACGGUGAUUGGGGUGAUCGGACUACCUAGGGUAGGGAAGUCGACGAUAAUGAAUGAGCUCUAUGGCUUUGAUGGAACUUCACUUGGUUCAUUAUCCUUUACAGGCUAUUGAGAGUGUCCCCUUUUCUGAAUCCAAAGUACAGCUUCUUGAAGCAGAGAAGGCUGAACUGAGGUGUCUUUUACCUAGAAGCUUGAUGGAUCAUGAUUUUUUUUUCCACCAUCCUCACCACAGAAAGAAAGUAAUGAUAAAUGCGCCAUUGAUCGAUUUUGCAACUAUAGUUGGUGUGGGCAGCGCAAGAUGCCUUCUUACGUAAAAAAGCUUGUUUUCCCUAAAGAUUUCUUCACUAACUUGAGGACAAUAGCCAAGCAGGAAGAUGAAAUUUAUCAAGUUUCAUCAUUGCUGCAAGAGCUUGUUAGUUCUGAUGGAGAGAAGCAACCAUCUAAUGGAGAAGUUCGAGCUGUAACAUGGAAGGCCUGUGGGGAUUCUGGUGCCCUACAAUUGCUCGUUGAACUUCCUAAUAUGAAGAAUAGGUUAUAUGGAUGUGAGACGAGAAGUUCAGAAGAAUAAUAAAUGUCGGCUGCAAGAGUACUGAUUCUCCAAGUGGUGAUGCAGUUCUGAUUCAUAUCAUAAUAAACUUCUUCCACUCAAAGGAUCACUUUAUCCUUAAAAUUUCAUUAUUACAUGCCACAUAUGCAGGAAGGGAGAAUAUGGAUUUUACACAUGGAAUGAACAUGGAUGCUAAUUGUCAACAAGAUGAGUAUACUUCUCUAGAGGUUAUGGCUAUCUUCCCUAGUAACGCAUCUUUUGAAUCCAGGGUGUCAUCUAUGGUUUACUUUUCAUUUGGAUUGUAUUUCUAAAUAUGAUCUUACAAUAUAACUUGAUUUUGAUGUAUUGGUUAUCUCCAGCUAUUAUGCUCCCAAAAAGAUUGAUUUGGGAAUUGGGGACCAUCUUUUGGUUUGUAUUCUUUUUGCUCCAGAUAAGUACACUGAAGUUUGAUCAAUUUAAUAGUUUGUCAUGACUCAAGCUGGUUCUCAUUGAGAUACUCAACAUAAUAUUGACUUGACAUAAAAUCUUGUUUUCUAUAUCUUUGUCCAUAACAGUUCUUAUGGGAACUUAACUUUAAACCAUAUUUAUGCAAUUUUAUGGAGGUUGUUGACUGAAAAUGGCCCAACGAACAACACACAACUUUGUUGUGACCUAAGUUGGCUUUUGCGCAAAUGCAUUUGUUUAGGCUGUCAAUUUUGUGUAUUUUCUGUUUUAGGAAAGUUUUCACUUAUCAAUUACAAAUUUCCUGAUUUAGCUGCGGUUUGUUAUGGUAAGUUUCUACUCCUUUCUGGUAUCUAAAUUUUUAUUAGUAGACUUGCUUCUUGUUUUUCACAUAGAUGCUAUGAUCAAGCAUUUGGAAGCAACUUGCAGAUGCAAAGAAGCAAUACGAUCUGAUGCUAGAAAGUAAACAAUUAGAAUUGUCAAGGCAUUUGAAAGAAUUAUCUCAGAAAAAUGACCAGGCCAUUAAUGAUAUCCGCAGGAGGUUUGAAGUUGGGAAGCUGGAGGGUGUCAAUAUUGAGAAAGAAAAGGCUGAUAAAGCUGUUCAAGAAAUGGAAAGCAAAUGUGACCAAAAGCUUGCAGAAUGCAAGGGAGAAUCACGACAGUAUUUGAUGCGCAUAUAGGAGGAACAUGCUGCUUUGAAAUCAAGUCUUGCAGAUUCUUAGUAAACUUCUUGUUGCAAUGCUUUCAAAGCCAUUCUUGCAGGAAAAGUAUGUCAAAGCUGACAUGGGUAGCAGCUUGCCAAGCAUUUCUUUGUGGAUUACUUGGGAGUAUGAGGACACAAGUGAAGAACCUGAGCAAGCUGCCUUGAAAAAAGUGAACAACAAGAAGUUGAAGAAGCU